rnacentral:rRNA from 1 species
CAUGGCUCAGGAUGAACGCUAGCUACAGGCUUAACACAUGCAAGUCGAGGGGCAGCAUUUCAGUUUGCUUGCAAACUGGAGAUGGCGACCGGCGCACGGGUGAGUAACACGUAUCCAACCUGCCGAUAACUCGGGGAUAGCCUUUCGAAAGAAAGAUUAAUACCCGAUGGUAUAAUCAGACCGCAUGGUCUUGUUAUUAAAGAAUUUCGGUUAUCGAUGGGGAUGCGUUCCAUUAGGCAGUUGGUGAGGUAACGGCUCACCAAACCUUCGAUGGAUAGGGGUUCUGAGAGGAAGGUCCCCCACAUUGGAACUGAGACACGGUCCAAACUCCUACGGGAGGCAGCAGUGAGGAAUAUUGGUCAAUGGGCGCAGGCCUGAACCAGCCAAGUAGCGUGAAGGAUGACUGCCCUAUGGGUUGUAAACUUCUUUUAUAUGGGAAUAAAGUUUUCCACGUGUGGAAUUUUGUAUGUACCAUAUGAAUAAGGAUCGGCUAACUCCGUGCCAGCAGCCGCGGUAAUACGGAGGAUCCGAGCGUUAUCCGGAUUUAUUGGGUUUAAAGGGAGCGUAGGUGGACAGUUAAGUCAGUUGUGAAAGUUUGCGGCUCAACCGUAAAAUUGCAGUUGAUACUGGCUGUCUUGAGUACAGUAGAGGUGGGCGGAAUUCGUGGUGUAGCGGUGAAAUGCUUAGAUAUCACGAAGAACUCCGAUUGCGAAGGCAGCUCACUGGACUGCAACUGACACUGAUGCUCGAAAGUGUGGGUAUCAAACAGGAUUAGAUACCCUGGUAGUCCACACAGUAAACGAUGAAUACUCGCUGUUUGCGAUAUACAGUAAGCGGCCAAGCGAAAGCAUUAAGUAUUCCACCUGGGGAGUACGCCGGCAACGGUGAAACUCAAAGGAAUUGACGGGGGCCCGCACAAGCGGAGGAACAUGUGGUUUAAUUCGAUGAUACGCGAGGAACCUUACCCGGGCUUAAAUUGCAUUUGAAUAAUCUGGAAACAGGUUAGCCGCAAGGCAAAUGUGAAGGUGCUGCAUGGUUGUCGUCAGCUCGUGCCGUGAGGUGUCGGCUUAAGUGCCAUAACGAGCGCAACCCUUAUCUUUAGUUACUAACAGGUCAUGCUGAGGACUCUAGAGAGACUGCCGUCGUAAGAUGUGAGGAAGGUGGGGAUGACGUCAAAUCAGCACGGCCCUUACGUCCGGGGCUACACACGUGUUACAAUGGGGGGUACAGAAGGCAGCUACCUGGUGACAGGAUGCUAAUCCCAAAAGCCUCUCUCAGUUCGGAUCGAAGUCUGCAACCCGACUUCGUGAAGCUGGAUUCGCUAGUAAUCGCGCAUCAGCCAUGGCGCGGUGAAUACGUUCCCGGGCCUUGUACACACCGCCCGUCAAGCCAUGAAAGCCGGGGGUACCUGAAGUACGUAACCGCAAGGAGCGUCCUAGGGUAAAACUGGUA